rnacentral:lncRNA from 1 species
AGGCAUUCCUCUCAGAACUCACCAUCACAGUCACGUUGGCUUUGCACUGGGUUGAUGUGUGCAAGAAAGUGCGUGCGGAAGGAGGAAGCGUGGUUCCUGCCUGCAGUACUUGGCUUCCAGGGUGUUGGAGCCAUCCAUCCAAUACAGAGCAGAUGAGCUGCUUGCCAGUUUGCAGAGAACAUGGCUUUAAGGCGGUGUGGAAAACGCUUCUUUCCUGGUUGCUGAGACUUUGUGGUGAGUGGGACUCUCAUCCCCAGAGGCGUUUGUGAACUGUGUUUACAGGUAGGCUGACAGGACACACAGCA